AUGACGUCGUGUCCGCCCUACUACGCGCCCAUGUCCUCUGAUGAACCUGAGGAGUCCUCCGUGUCCACCGUCGUCGCCACGGCGGUCGGCACCGGGCACCACACGCUCAGGAUCCAGGGCUACUCGCGACUCGAGACCAUGCACGGCGGCAACGGCAGCUACGUGGAGUCCAACGCGUUCAAGGCAGCGGGCCACACCUGGAGGAUCCGUUGCUACCUCGACGGGGAGCGCCCGGAGGACGCCGGCUUCGUCUCGCUGUUCCUCAGGCGCGACCCCGCCGAUGCCGGCGCCGCUGAGAGCGUCGUCCACGCCGAGUGCGAGUUCGCACUGGUGCACCACCAAGGGACGCUGGUGAAGUGGCCGUCGCACUACCAACGCUUGAGCGCCUCGGCCUUUUCCUCCAGCCACAUGUGGGGCAUCCCGCAGUUCAUCAGCAAGGAGGACCUCGAGGGCUCCAGGUUCCUCAAGGACGACUGCUUCGCCGUCCGGUGCAAGGUCACCGCCAUCAAGCAGCGGUCCGCCAAAGAGGAAGAGGACGCGAGCCCCCCGGCCCUGGGAAGGCGUUUGCUAGGUUUCUGUAGUUCCAUCUGUGGAUAG
rnacentral:rRNA from 1 species